rnacentral:rRNA from 1 species
CCUACGGGAGGCUGCAGUGGGGAAUAUUGCACAAUGGGCGCAAGCCUGAUGCAGCCAUGCCGCGUGUGUGAAGAAGGCCUUCGGGUUGUAAAGCACUUUCAGCGGGGAGGAAGGCGUUAAGGUUAAUAACCUUGUCGAUUGACGUUACCCGCAGAAGAAGCACCGGCUAACUCCGUGCCAGCAGCCGCGGUAAUACGGAGGGUGCAAGCGUUAAUCGGAAUUACUGGGCGUAAAGCGCACGCAGGCGGUCUGUCAAGUCGGAUGUGAAAUCCCCGGGCUCAACCUGGGAACUGCAUUCGAAACUGGCAGGCUAGAGUCUUGUAGAGGGGGGUAGAAUUCCAGGUGUAGCGGUGAAAUGCGUAGAGAUCUGGAGGAAUACCGGUGGCGAAGGCGGCCCCCUGGACAAAGACUGGCGCUCAGGUGCGAAAGCGUGGGGAGCAAACAGGAUUAGAUACCCGGGUAGUC